UACGGGGGGGGCAAGCGUUGUUCGGAAUUACUGGGCGUAAAGGGCGCGUAGGCGGUUUGCUAAGUUGGAUGUGAAAACUCUGGGCUUAACCCAGAGCCUGCAUCCAAAACUGGCAGGCUAGAGUUUUGGAGGGGGAAGCGGAAUUCCUGGUGUAGCAGUGAAAUGCGUAGAUAUCAGGAAGAACACCUAUGGCGAAGGCAGCACUCUGGGACGGUACUGACGCUCAUGCACGAAAGCGUGGGGAGCAAACAGG
rnacentral:rRNA from 1 species